GUAUGAAGAUGGCGGAACGGUAUGGGAUGCGAUCAAACGGCUUCUUAAACUUACAGUUUUGAAAACAUUUUACAUCCGAGAGCGCCUGACGCGUGUCCCGCGGAGCCAUCAGCUGGCGUCUGCUGCUGUACAGAACAGCAGGAAGAGCACAGAGGAGCCCUGAGGCGGGAGGCCAACCGAGCCAGAGAACGUUUCCCACAGCAACCAGCAGCAAGGCUCGUUUGAGAUCAGAAGUCAAGGUGGGUGACCUUCUCCCUCCCCAAGUAAUGACCAGGCCGAGAGGCGCUUGGCGGACAGUAUUCAGAGAGUACUGGUGCUGAAGACACUGUGACCCUCC